rnacentral:rRNA from 1 species
AACGCUGGCGGCGUGCCUAACACAUGCAAGUCGCACGAGAAAGGGGCUUCGGCCCUGAGUAAAGUGGCGCACGGGUGAGUAACACGUGAAUGAUCUACCUCCGAGUGGGGAAUAACCUAGGGAAACCUGGGCUAAUACCGCAUAACACUUACGAGUCAAAGCAGCAAUGCGCUUGGAGAGGAGUUCGCGGCAGAUUAGCUAGUUGGUGAGGUAAUGGCUCACCAAGGCGAUGAUCUGUAUCCGGCCUGAGAGGGCGCACGGACACACUGGAACUGAAACACGGUCCAGACUCCUACGGGAGGCAGCAGUGGGGAAUUUUGCGCAAUGGGGGAAACCCUGACGCAGCAACGCCGCGUGGAGGAUGAAAUCCCUUGGGAUGUAAACUCCUUUCGAUCGGGAAGAUAAUGACGGUACCGAGAGAAGAAGCCCCGGCUAACUUCGUGCCAGCAGCCGCGGUAAUACGAGGGGGGCAAGCGUUGUUCGGAAUUAUUGGGCGUAAAGGGUGCGUAGGCGGUUUGAUAAGUUUGAUGUGAAAUCUCUGGGCUCAACCCAGAGUCUGCAUCGAAAACUGUCGGGCUUGAGUAUGGGAGAGGUGAGUGGAAUUUCCGGUGUAGCGGUGAAAUGCGUAGAUAUCGGAAGGAACACCUGUGGCGAAAGCGGCUCACUGGACCAUUACUGACGCUGAUGCACGAAAGCUAGGGGAGCAAACAG